rnacentral:rRNA from 1 species
UAUUAAAAUUUUUAAUGAGAGUUUGAUCCUGGCUCAGGACGAACGCUGGCGGCGUGCCUAAUACAUGCAAGUAGAACGCUGAAGAGAGGAGCUUGCUCUUCUUGGAUGAGUUGCGAACGGGUGAGUAACGCGUAGGUAACCUGCCUUGUAGCGGGGGAUAACUAUUGGAAACGAUAGCUAAUACCGCAUAACAAUGGAUGACACAUGUCAUUUAUUUGAAAGGGGCAAUUGCUCCACUACAAGAUGGACCUGCGUUGUAUUAGCUAGUAGGUGAGGUAACGGCUCACCUAGGCGACGAUACAUAGCCGACCUGAGAGGGUGAUCGGCCACACUGGGACUGAGACACGGCCCAGACUCCUACGGGAGGCAGCAGUAGGGAAUCUUCGGCAAUGGGGGCAACCCUGACCGAGCAACGCCGCGUGAGUGAAGAAGGUUUUCGGAUCGUAAAGCUCUGUUGUAAGUCAAGAACGAGUGUGAGAGUGGAAAGUUCACACUGUGACGGUAGCUUACCAGAAAGGGACGGCUAACUACGUGCCAGCAGCCGCGGUAAUACGUAGGUCCCGAGCGUUGUCCGGAUUUAUUGGGCGUAAAGCGAGCGCAGGCGGUUUGAUAAGUCUGAAGUUAAAGGCUGUGGCUCAACCAUAGUUCGCUUUGGAAACUGUCAAACUUGAGUGCAGAAGGGGAGAGUGGAAUUCCAUGUGUAGCGGUGAAAUGCGUAGAUAUAUGGAGGAACACCGGUGGCGAAAGCGGCUCUCUGGUCUGUAACUGACGCUGAGGCUCGAAAGCGUGGGGAGCGAACAGGAUUAGAUACCCUGGUAGUCCACGCCGUAAACGAUGAGUGCUAGGUGUUGGAUCCUUUCCGGGAUUCAGUGCCGCAGCUAACGCAUUAAGCACUCCGCCUGGGGAGUACGACCGCAAGGUUGAAACUCAAAGGAAUUGACGGGGGCCCGCACAAGCGGUGGAGCAUGUGGUUUAAUUCGAAGCAACGCGAAGAACCUUACCAGGUCUUGACAUCCCGAUGCUAUUUCUAGAGAUAGAAAGUUACUUCGGUACAUCGGUGACAGGUGGUGCAUGGUUGUCGUCAGCUCGUGUCGUGAGAUGUUGGGUUAAGUCCCGCAACGAGCGCAACCCCUAUUGUUAGUUGCCAUCAUUCAGUUGGGCACUCUAGCGAGACUGCCGGUAAUAAACCGGAGGAAGGUGGGGAUGACGUCAAAUCAUCAUGCCCCUUAUGACCUGGGCUACACACGUGCUACAAUGGUUGGUACAACGAGUUGCGAGUCGGUGACGGCAAGCUAAUCUCUUAAAGCCAAUCUCAGUUCGGAUUGUAGGCUGCAACUCGCCUACAUGAAGUCGGAAUCGCUAGUAAUCGCGGAUCAGCACGCCGCGGUGAAUACGUUCCCGGGCCUUGUACACACCGCCCGUCACACCACGAGAGUUUGUAACACCCGAAGUCGGUGAGGUAACCUUUUGGAGCCAGCCGCCUAAGGUGGGAUAGAUGAUUGGGGUGAAGUCGUAACAAGGUAGCCGUAUCGGAAGGUGCGGCUGGAUCACCUCCUUUCUA